AUGAACGCUAGCGACAGGCCUAACACAUGCAAGUCGAGGGGCAGCGGGGAGGUAGCAAUACCUUUGCCGGCGACCGGCGCACGGGUGAGUAACACGUAUGCAAUCCACCUGUAACAGGGGGAUAACCCGGAGAAAUCCGGACUAAUACCCCAUAAUAUGGGCGCUCCGCAUGGAGAGCCCAUUAAAGAGAGCAAUUUUGGUUACAGACGAGCAUGCGCUCCAUUAGCCAGUUGGCGGGGUAACGGCCCACCAAAGCGACGAUGGAUAGGGGUUCUGAGAGGAAGGUCCCCCACAUUGGAACUGAGACACGGUCCAAACUCCUACGGGAGGCAGCAGUGAGGAAUAUUGGUCAAUGGUCGGCAGACUGAACCAGCCAAGUCGCGUGAGGGAAGACGGCCCUACGGGUUGUAAACCUCUUUUGUCGGAGAGUAAAGUACGCUACGUGUAGCGUAUUGCAAGUAUCCGAAGAAAAAGCAUCGGCUAACUCCGUGCCAGCAGCCGCGGUAAUACGGAGGAUGCAAGCGUUAUCCGGAUUUAUUGGGUUUAAAGGGUGCGUAGGCGGCACGCCAAGUCAGCGGUGAAAUUUCCGGGCUCAACCCGGACUGUGCCGUUGAAACUGGCGAGCUAGAGUGCACAAGAGGCAGGCGGAAUGCGUGGUGUAGCGGUGAAAUGCAUAGAUAUCACGCAGAACCCCGAUUGCGAAGGCAGCCUGCUAGGGUGCGACAGACGCUGAGGCACGAAAGCGUGGGUAUCGAACAGGAUUAGAUACCCUGGUAGUCCACGCAGUAAACGAUGAAUACUAACUGUUUGCGAUACAAUGUAAGCGGUACAGCGAAAGCGUUAAGUAUUCCACCUGGGGAGUACGCCGGCAACGGUGAAACUCAAAGGAAUUGACGGGGACCCGCACAAGCGGUGGAGCAUGUGGUUUAAUUCGAAGCAACGCGAAGAACCUUACCAAGUCUUGACAUCCUUCUGACCGGUACUUAACCGUACCUUCUCUUCGGAGCAGGAGUGACAGGUGGUGCAUGGUUGUCGUCAGCUCGUGCCGUGAGGUGUCGGCUUAAGUGCCAUAACGAGCGCAACCCCUAUGGACAGUUACUAACGGGUGAAGCCGAGGACUCUGUCUAGACUGCCGGCGCAAGCCGCGAGGAAGGUGGGGAUGACGUCAAAUCAGCACGGCCCUUACGUCCGGGGCGACACACGUGUUACAAUGGCAGGUACAGAAGGCAGCCAGUCAGCAAUGACGCGCGAAUCCCGAAAACCUGUCUCAGUUCGGAUUGGAGUCUGCAACCCGACUCCAUGAAGCUGGAUUCGCUAGUAAUCGCGCAUCAGCCAUGGCGCGGUGAAUACGUUCCCGGGCCUUGUACACACCGCCCGUCAAGCCAUGGAAGCCGGGAGUACCUGAAGCAUGCAACCGCAAGGAGCGUACGAAGGUAAUACCGGUAACUGGGGCU
rnacentral:rRNA from 1 species